GCCUCCGUAGCUCAGCGGAUAGAGCUGUUGCCUUCUAAGCAAAGGGUCGUAGGUUCGAUUCCUACCGGGGGCG
rnacentral:tRNA from 1 species